rnacentral:rRNA from 1 species
CCUACGGGCGGCUGCAGUCGAGAAUAUUCCACAAUGGACGCAAGUCUGAUGGAGCGACGCCGCGUGCAGGAUGACGGCCUUCGGGUUGUAAACUGCGGUAGCUAGGGAAGAACUUUUGUGACGGUACCUAGCGGAAAGAGGCGGGUAACUACGUGCCAGCACCAGCGGUAAUACGUAGGCCUCGAGCGUUAUCCGGAUUUAUUGGGCGUAAAGAGCAUGUAGGAGGCUUCGCGCGUCCUUGGUUAAAGACCACUGCCUAACGGUGGGACUGCCGA